rnacentral:ncRNA from 1 species
AAGGAAUUCCUAGUAAGCGCGAGUCAUCAGCUCGCGUUGACUACGUCCCUGCCCUUUCUACACACCGCCCGUCGCUCCUACCGAUUGAAUGGUCCGGUGAAGUGUUCGAAUCACGAAUUAUGACUAAACGCCUCUAAGUCAGAAUUCGGGCUAGAAGCGACGCAUGCGCCCGUCGCCCGAUUGCCGACCCUCAGUAGGGGCCUCUGGCCCCCAAGGGUACGUGUCGUAGGUGUAGCGACCGUGACGGACAAGUCCUGGGUGCCUCCUUGGAGCGUAAUUCCCACCGAGCAGUGGGUAGAAUCCUUUGUAGACGACUUAAAGACGCGACGGGGUAUUGUAAGUGGCAGAGUGGCCUUGCUGCCAUGAUCCCCUGAGAUUCAGCCCUUUGUCGCUUCGAUUC